rnacentral:rRNA from 1 species
GACGAACGCUGGCGGCGUGCCUAAUACAUGCAAGUAGAACGCUGAAGGAGGAGCUUGCUUCUCUGGAUGAGUUGCGAACGGGUGAGUAACGCGUAGGUAACCUGCCUGGUAGCGGGGGAUAACUAUUGGAAACGAUAGCUAAUACCGCAUAAUAGUAGAUGUUGCAUGACAUUUGCCUAAAAGGUGCAAUUGCAUCACUACCAGAUGGACCUGCGUUGUAUUAGCUAGUUGGUGGGGUAACGGCUCACCAAGGCGACGAUACAUAGCCGACCUGAGAGGGGGAUCGGCCACACUGGGACUGAGACACGGCCCAGACUCCUACGGGAGGCAGCAGUAGGGAAUCUUCGGCAAUGGACGGAAGUCUGACCGAGCAACGCCGCGUGAGUGAAGAAGGUUUUCGGAUCGUAAAGCUCUGUUGUAAGAGAAGAACGAGUGUGAGAGUGGAAAGUUCACACUGUGACGGUAGCUUACCAGAAAGGGACGGCUAACUACGUG